rnacentral:lncRNA from 1 species
CUUCUUUGUAGUAAUUUUACAAUGGAAAACCCCAUCACAGUUUCACUACUUUUGUGAUAUAGAAACUUUAUAUUCAGUAAGUUAAAUUUUAAGGAAUUAAGUGCCUUUUGUUAUCUUUCUCCACUGUUAGGUUUCUGAUACUCUCCAUCUCUUCCCACCAGACUCGUAUCCUCUUCUAUAGUCUUUUUCCCCCUGGUCGCUAAUCAAGUUCUUCUUCCUCUCAUCCUCUUCUCUACUUCUGGCACCCUUCUCAUUGUUCUUUCGACUGCUGCUUCUUCUUCUUUGUUCCUCGUCGUCAUCUAUUUCAAACUAGCUCGAUUCCCCUUCUUUCUCUAACUUCUCAAACAUCCUCUUCCUGGAAUUCCUUUUGCAGUAUUUACACUAUUGCACACCGCCAGGUAUCUGGCAUUGCUUUCCAUCCCAGAUGUGAUUUCUCAUCUCUCUACCUUAACUUUUCCUCUUCUUUUCCCCUUUUAUUUUCUCUCUUCCGCUGCCAGCCACUUAUACUUCUACAAAUAUGACAACCCUUAUGUUGUUUUCCACCUCCACCUCUUUCAGUUCCUUGCCUUGCGAUCCUCCUCUGAUCUCCUUCUACGAACAUUUCUUCCUUUUCCUCCCUAGUAUUCUCGCAACUGCGGCAGCUACUUCAUCUUUUUGUCUACUGCUUCUUUUCCAUCUUAUUCACAUCAAUUAAUGAGGUUUUCAACACUAAUCCCUUCUUUAUUGUUAUACAAUCCAGAUAUUGCCCCUCCUAAGUAUCAGAACUAUCUGAAACAGAUUAAUAUAUACUUCAAGUAACUAAAGAGUCUCAUUCCCUUCAAAGGACAAAAUCAAUUACUAUGCUGCAACCCCAAAAUAGCCAGGGUUUGUCGUAUGAAUCCCUUAUAUAUCCAUUCUGCUCUACUUGAACAAAUCCUUCAAAGGCUAUUUGCACUUACAGAUUUGAAUAAACCAUGUCAACAAGUACCAACAAAAAAAAAAGAUUGGACUCCCAGGAAACUUGUUUAUAUACCCUUCUGGUGAAGAAAUCAGCAGUGGCCGCUAACUUAGCUAAAAACUCCAAGAUACCAGCUAAAUCUGAGUGCAUCAAAUACAAGGAACGCCUAAAGGUUUGGGGAAAAGACAAAUAAAGAAUCUAAACAAUUGUUUCAUAGCUUGAAAUCGUGUAAAAAUGUUACAACUACUAGAAGUAUACUUUGCAUCACAUUUGGUCCCUUGAUUUAGCAGGGGAAAGCUCAAGCAUGGGAUUUUUUGGAACUCAUAAUAUUAAUAGCGAAGGUAGCAUCACAUAUUAACCACGGAAAGUCUAGCAACAGCGCAUACAUGAAAGAUACCAACCUUAAGCUUUGAAUAGCCCACUCGCCACCAAACAGGUUCCACAAACUGAAAAAGUCCUGUCAGGUCUAAAAGUUCUGGAAUCAAAGCACCAAGAGCAGCCAGCAUAGACCAACGGCCGUGCAAAAUCUCAUAACUGUGAAGUAACCAUGACAACUGAAAUAAGUCCGAAUUCAGAGCUUCUGUGUGGUCUAUGAACAAAUAGUUUGUAUGAGUGUGUGUUUGUUGCUAUUUUGAGAAUUCCAAGAGUUCCCCAAAAGAUUACACAAUGCGAUCUCUGAAAAUCCAUGCGGGAAUGUUUAAGCUCUCAUCCCAAACAUGUCUUGCAGUAGAGCAACUUUCAUGUCUAUGCAUGGAAACACAGACAAUAUGUCACCAAUCACCUAGUGGUUUAUUUCUCAAUAGGCCAUUGAAAGCGUUCACUUUGUUUAUUUCUUUUAUGGGAAGCUCCAGUCUUUAAAAAGAUACAUACAUGUGCUAAAGAAGCAUAAGAGGUGUUGCAUUUGUUAGAUAAAAUACAAUAUCACCAUUAUCUAGUCGGAACAAAAGCAAUUUUGAACUAGCUAAAAGAAGCGAAAUUUAAUUCAUACUUGAAGUACUUUUGAAGGGCCACGGGAUCCUUGCUCAACCCCCAUAUAUCAAAUCCAUAGUCCCCGGGUAGCUCCCCAUUAAGAUAAGCAGGGUAGUCAUAAGAAAUUGGACCAAGCCAGCGGGGGCGAUCUUCUCCGUACCAGAUACUGCAAAGAAUACAUAAUAGUGAAUUCCGUGCAGUGGUGAAAACAAGAGAGGAUAUGCAUUACUGUAUAAUGCAGCAAAAUUGUGAACGGACAAGCAUUUUCGUAUAUAACACAGUAAUGCAUGGAGUGAAACGAAAGAGAAGAGAGAAAACAAGGGGCAUGAUUACCUACCUAUCGUUUCGUGCCAUUUGUGCAAGCGCCUUAAACUUUGCGGAAUUCUCAACUGCAACUUUCUUCCUCUCUUCCAAGCGUUUACGGAGUGUCUCACCAAAGGUACUGUUGGCGAUAGCUUUGACGGCGGUGAAAGGAAUGGCUGAGAAUACCAAAACGCCGGCGAGCUGAAGAAAAAUUGGUUAGUUUAAGUUAAACGCAAACAGGUUACAGGAGGAGAAGCAAAAACAAACACCUCUUGCCAUGAAGCCUUGUAGCGCGAAAAGGAAUUAAUCAGUACACUUGAAUUGCGAUGAAACCUUUGGUAUUCAGGGAGGAUGAAAUCGGAUCCAAUGAAAGUGGAGGAGGAUGACGAUGGAUGCUGAAGCAGAGUCAUGACGAUUAGUACGUACAGUGUCCUUUCUGCUUAGCUCUUCAGACUCCCUGCUUAAUGACACCCAUCCUGACGUGGUUCCUUCCCAGCCUCAAAACCCAAAAAGCAAUUCAUAACAACCCGAUGAAUAUCCUACAACCAAUCAAACGCAAUUAGCAGAACAAAGUUAGAUUCAACUAGAUAAGUAUAAGUAGUUAGCACACUAGAUUAUUGUUAGGUUCCAUGUACGAAAAAUUGAGGAAAGUAAAUGGAGGGAAAAAUUAAAAAAAUACUAUUAUGAAAAGUGUAUUUUAAAAUAGAAAGUUUACUGAUUCUUGUAGGAAAAUGUGACUUUCAAGUGUAUAUACGGAGAAACACUUACUUCACUUGAUAAGUGAAGCAAUAAAUGAGAGGCAUAAUCUGGAAGGAAAAAUUUCGUAAUCUCGGGUAUUUGAGAAGAAUUAUUUUUUUAAGGACACUUCGUGAAUUUGGAGACUUGAUCAUUUUUGUUUUGUCUUAUUUUCUAAAAAAACAUACUUCUCAUAAAGAUUAUUUUGAUCUUGUUUUGAGGGUGUUAUUAUACUUCAUAGUGUUCUUGUUUUAUAUUCGAACUAAUGUUGAAGUUAUUCUAUCAAAUUACAGAUUUUGUGUAUUCAAAAAUAUUGUAAAACUGAUAAUUUUAACUUCACCAAUUUUAAAGUUACGUUUGGAAAAACAAUAAAUUACUCACAAACUUUAAUAAGCGAUGUGACUUGAGUGGCUAUGAGUUAGAAAAUAACUUCAUUCCGCAACCUUUUACUUGUUAAAUCUUCUUACACAUUUGUACUUAUUUUAUUAGUUCCAAAUUUUUUAAUUUGUUGUUUCAUUUUACUUGUUCUUUUUUACUUAUCAAGAUAAGACAAUUAUUUUUCAUUGUACCCCUAGUGUAAUUGAUUACUCCUUAUUAGGAGUAUCAUUAAGAGUACAUCAUUAUGAAUAUAAAUGGUGUUUUGGUAUUAGUCAUCCAUCAAUAUUGAAACUAACAACAAGACACAAUUAAGACAGGUCAAAUGAUAAAGUUACUUUACCAAUUAUUGUUUUCUUAAUAGUUGUGUCAUCUCAAUUUGAGACGCGUAAAAUGUCACGGAGGGAGUAUGUAAGUGCGAGUACACGAUAAAAUUGGUUAAAUAUCUAAUUGGCGAGAUGAAAGAAAAAGGCACUUAAUGGUUUAUAUCAUGUUCAUGGAAUGUUUAUUUUGUCAAUUUAGUAGUAUUAUGUAACAUUUUAGUUUAAUAUUUCAAGUAUACACUUCAACAAAAAUAGAUCAAUAUUUGAUUUGAAUUUUUCAAAAUUAGAGGUGAGACUAAAUUACUUGUGGUUAAAGAAAAAACUUAUUUAAGUGUAAUUUGUCCUCUGUUAUCUCUUAUACUUCAAAAAAUAGCUAGAUUUAAUCGUCUAAUUUGCCCACACCCUUGACUACAUUUGAACAGCAGUCUAACAAUGGGAAAUUUGUUUGAAAAAGUAUAACGAAUAUAAACUUUUCUGAAGUAAAAUAUAAACAAUUCUGAUGUAAAUAGGUAAAUUUGAUGGACAAUUGUUCCACGAGCUGUUCAGUAAUAACAAAUACGAGAAACAUUUAUUUGCAAAACUAACAACAUAUCCGGGUAGAAUAUAUCCAAACCAUACUACUAUUUAGGAGAAGUAGAGACGGCCGGGCAGAUGUGAUGUUAGUAGAGUGAUUGGCUUUAAUAAUAGAGUAAUAAUUAGAUUCAAUCAUGUAAGCAGGGAAAGGUUCGACCUUCCAUUUAUUUAGCAGUAAACUUUUUGCAGCGGGAGAUGAGAGAAAUACAAUAGAUCGAUAAUUGAGUACAACAAAGCAACUCAACAUAUUACAAUUAAUUAAUUAAUUAAUCUUCAUAGGUGCGGCACUCCUCAGUCUCAGGGUGAUCUUGACAGUAAGGUUCAAGAGGAUCUUCAUUGAGCUGAAGCUUGAUGCGCAGAUGAGCCUUAGCCUGGCUAACUUCUUCCACCUCAUCCCACGCCACCUUGCACUCUGCAGACCUUGCGUCUUCCCCGCAAACCUCUUUAGCUUCCUUCACUUUCUUCUCUAUCAUUUCCGUCAGCUGCUUCUCCCUCAUCUGCGUCCCCUUAUACUUCGGUACUCCUCCUGCCGAUCCGCUGUUACUCAUCGUCCUCACCUUCUGCACUCCUUUCCUCAUCGUACUGGGAACUUCAAUUGGGAAUGGUACCACCUUCAAGUUCACAGCAGCCAUCACAACAAUGAACAGGUUUUUUUUUUUUUUUGGGGGGGUGGGGGAUCAAAUUUAAGAGGUGCUGUGGAUCUAUCUAUCCGAUGAAAAAGUAAAAAUGUGCGGGUUUCUUGUGAAUAUUAGGACAAUGUCAUAUCUCAAUCACCAUUAUUUCUUCAGGGCACGAAAUAGCAUCAUUUACUACAGCUCUCAGCUAGCAUGAAACGACGUCGUGGGGUAUUUCUGUGUCUGGGGAUAAGGUUCCCACUUUAGUUUGGGGCCCACGGGAACUGUUCUUCCACCUUUGGCGUUUUUUCUCCUCUUGUUUCACUUUCCAGCGGACUUUUUAAUCACCCGUUUAGACGUGCAUAUGGAAAAAUUAUUUGAUGUAAGAUUGUAGCUGUCAUCUGAAAUUAUUUGGUAUUAAAUUAUUAGAUAUGAAGUUGGAGUUUUGUUUUAAUAUGCAAUUUGGGUCUUUAAAUUAUAUUUUUUUUCUUAAAUAUGAAAAUUUCACAAGAGAUGAAAAUUAUUAAAUUUUUUCCAAUUCUUCUAUUUUACUAUCAAAUGAGUAAAUUAUAAUUUAAAAAUAGGAUAGCAUAAUAUUUUAAGAUACUAUAUUGAUAAAUUGCAUAUUCUUGUUUUUUUAAUAAAUAAACAUUUACGAUUAUAGACUAUUAUCAUUAUUCUUUAACAUAAUUUUUUCACUUGUAUGAACAAUCUUCUCACGAUGAGUCUUUCUUACAAAUAUAACCCAUGGAUCAAUUUAUAUAAUUAUUUUUUUAUUUAAAAUUAUAAAUUACAUUUAUUGGAGAAUUUGAAACUUGAAAUCACGAUCCAAAUUUUAUAUUCAAAUGUUGAUUUAAGAACAUAAUUUCAUAUCGCAUGUCCGAACAUCUAUUAGGGUCACACUUUGAUUUGGAUUUUUUAAUAACAAAGUGAAUUAAUUAUAUUGAGUUUUAAAAUUUAUAAAUCAAAUCAAACCAAUAAAACUCAAGUUUUCAAACAUUGAAUUUUCUCAAAAUAUUUGUUAUCGAUUAAUCAAUUAACGGUCCAUGACAAUUCAAUUGAUCAUUAAGAAAAUGUUAUCCAGAAAUAAAUUGAAGAAAUUUUGAAGUAAGGUGAUUAGACAUGACAUGAAUCAAUUAUAGUUUGCCGAGAAUAUGACCCUAGGUAGAAAGAUACGAAGGGCGUACAUUAAGAUAGAUGAGUAGUGGAUAGGAGUGUGCCUCUACUAUUAGCUAAACAUAUAAUCCUAAGCUCUAUGUGUAGUGUAAAUUCUCAUGAUCUACUAGCGAUGUUUAUUGAGUGAAUCACAUCUAUAAUUAAACUUAAUAUUUGGGUUAUCGAUUUUUUAUUUUUAAAUAUACGACUCCACUAGUCAGCCAAUUGAAUAUCAGUUGAUUCAAUAACUGUUAUCAAUUACCGAAUGGUUAUUGGUUUGUGUGUUGACUAACCUUCCGCUAUAUCUUAUUUUUCAAUAAAAUUUAUGCUUCUUAUAGAAAAUAUGACUUCUUUUCACGUUGUUAAAUGCAGUGACAAAGAAAAAUGUUGUAAGUGACAUAAAUCAAAAUACUAAAUGAGUUAAUGGGGGCAUUAGGAUUAAUAAUAUGUAUGCUAAUUCUAAUGGGUUGCGAUUUAUCGAUAAGGAAAUUGAGUAUGGAGGUGUUUGGAUUAAUAUUUUUAAGUAACUUAUAACCUAAAAGGUAAACAUCAAAACUUCGCUAUUAACUUUUUUUGUAACUUCUUAAGCUUAAAGGAAACACUAUGUGUCUUUGUUAAACACUUUGAAUAAUUAAAAUGUACAUAACAAUUAAAAUUAUCUUAAAGAAAAGAAAGUUAAUUCUAACACCCUCUAAUUCUUUUCGAUAUCAAUAAAUUGUUAAUUAUAAAUUCUAAUUUGUUAACCAAUAUCAUACGUCAAUUUUGUUAUGGACUCAUCGGUGUAUUGUAAAUUCUAACGGUCCAAAACUCUAAAUCGCCAAAAAAUUGUACCGUGGCCCGAUUUUGUAGUAGCGCACUUGCUAAAAAAAACAUUAUGUUAUAUCUCAUGGUGGGACCCACCAACUAAGCAUAUAGUGGAAAGGAGGGCGGUCGGGCCAACGGCUAUGAAAGGAAGGGUUUUGGGAGUCAGUAGUAAGACAAAUUCAAAUUCAAAUUUGGGUAAGGAUUAAGGGCUCUUUGUUUCUCCCUCUCUCUCUCUCUCUAUUGGCAGGAAGAAGAAGAAAAGAAGAAGUAUCAGAAAGAAUGGAGAAGGUAGUAGGAUUGGAUCCAGAGACGGAAUUCUUAGCGUCAAAGCAAGAGACGGGUCACGAGUGGGAACUCUUCAAGGAAAAUGUCAGACCUUUGAAGAGAGGCCGCAACGUUAAUCUCCUCAACAAUGCUCUUAAGUCCACUACCGAUUAUCAUCUCAAGAAAUCUCUUCUUGACAAACGAAGGUUCCAUUAUAAAUUCAUUUGCCUUCUUUCCCUGCAUUUUCAAUUCUUCUGUCUUAAAUUUGUUUACAGAUUUAACGAGUAAAAUGAGUCUAAUUAGAAUGGCGAUUGGUGACUCCCUCUGUACAUACCACACUAGCCUUUGAUUACGAUGUAGUAAUAGUAGCAACUGCUGCAUUUUUAAAAUCCCUAAUUAAUUUUUGAAUUCAACUCUUUCUGCUUAGGGCGUUGAUCGAAGCAAUUGACCAGUACAAAGGUGAAGACCCUCUUCAGCCAUGGAUCCAGUGAGUGCUCUCCUUUUCGGAAACAAAUAUUUUUUGAAUUUUUUACCUUCUAUUUAAUGAGUGAAACUCUGUUUUUGAUUCAACUGCUGACAUAAUUUAUCAUUAUAACUGGGAAGGUGCAUCAAAUGGGUGCAAGAGGCUUUCCCUCCCGGUGGGGACAGUUCUGGACUUAUAGUUAUUUAUGAACAAUGUGUCCGUACCUUUUGGCAUGAUGAACGAUACAAGGAUGACCUCCGUUACUUGAAAGUCUGGCUGGAAUAUGUGCGUCGUUUGUUUUUCUUCACAUCCAUUCUUUUGCCCCUAAAUCUUCUCAUCAUGCAGUUUGGUACGUGAGUUUGCUUAUUCAUAGCUCUUUGCAGGCUGAAAAUUGUAUGGAUGCUGAAGUGAUUUAUAGCUUUUUGGAGGCUAACAAAAUUGGGCUGACACAUUCGUCAUUCUACAUAGCCUAUGCUUUGCACAUGGAAUCUCAAAAUAAAAUCAAAACAGCAAACGAGAUCUUCAAUCGGGGACUAUCUAUGUAAGUUGUGUUCCCACUGGGCCUUGGUUUAAUCUUUUGCUGGAAAGGUAGGUUCUUGCAUAAUUAACAUUGGGUCUCACUUGACGCUAGGCAAGUGAACAUGGCUUGGUUACGGAGAUGUAAUGCAUAUAUGUUGUCUAUGACGUGAGAUGCAUCAUUCAAACGGGUUGUUGAGUCGCUGUCUGAUAUUUCUGUUUAAGUAGCAUGUCAUAUGUUAAGUCUAAUGAUUUCUAUGGAAGCUGCUUUUGCAUUAAUUGUAUGCUAGUAUUGUGUAUUGUAGGGGUGGGGGAUUUAUGUGUUAAGCUUCCCCAAAAUCCACAUAUUCAACAGUUUGCAAAUGUUUGAGAUGUUAAUAUCGAGAACGUUGCUCUCUGAAAUUUAUGCUUAAAAUGCUAUCAAACAUGGUACUAGUUAUGCUGAUUUUAAUACAUGAAUAAUUCACUUUCUAACCCGCAACUAAACGACCCCUUAGGCAUUAAUUAACUCAACAAGACUGUGCUUAUCUUUUUUGAGCUUCCUCCUCGUUUUUCUCUUACCCACUAAUGGGUCUUUUCCAUUAUCUAUUUCCAGUCUAAAACUUAAAAGUGUAUCGGUAUAAUUAACGACGAGAGAAGGGAGCCUUGGAGAAACUAGUAAAGUUGCUGCCAUGUGACCAGGAGGUUACACGGGGUCAAGCCUUGGAAAUAGCCUCUGGCAGAAAUGCAAGGUAAAGGUUGCGUACAAUAGACCCUUGUGGUCGGGCCCUUCCCCGAACCUUGCGCAUAGCCCAGCUUUAGUGCAUCGGGCUGCCCUUUUUAGACAAUUUUCACGAACAUUUCUAAAGAUACAGUAAAUAUGAGUACAAAAAACUGGUCUCACCAAGUGAUGUUCCUGCUUGUUCUCAUCCAUUCGUAAACCACCUGUGUGUACGGACUCUCUCAGCUGGUUUAUGGUUAAAAUUUCGUUGUCUCCUGUGAAUCAGGAAUGCAGAACCUGAAGAGAAAUUGAAAAUAUCCUACAGGAAGUUUCUCAGUCGUUCAAUGGGGCGACCCAAAGUAACAGAGGUAUCGACUGUUCACACUUACCCUCUUCUAAGGCCACUGCCGUUUGCUUUAAUUUGAAUUUGUGGCAACUUACUUUGUAUUUUCAGGAGGAGCUAGCAGAACACCAGCUUCCAAUGAGAAGCUUUGGAACACUGUUGGCUAGGGGGGAAGCUCGUAAGUGCAUUUCUGUGUCGAAGCUUCAGGGUGUCUGGUGGCUUUGGCUAACAUUGUUCUUGCCUUUACAGGAAAUCAGAUGACGGGAACCUCUGACUUGUCACGGAAGAAAAUGAAACAGGAUAGGUAAGUGCAAGUCACCACGGUUUCCUCCCAAGUUACUUUCGUGUCCCUGCAUUUUUCAUAGUAACACUGUGCUUUAAACCAAAUCUAUGUCCUUAUUACUUAUUCUUAUCAUCACAUGGUUCAGCUGUGCCAUGUCAAGCAAGAGUUCAGAUUAUGACAAGUAUUUGCUUUUAAGUACCUUAAGUCCUUUGCAAUAUGGAAAUGAAAUUUUGGGUGUUAUUGCUGCAUAAUCCUUAACUUAAAGGUAAAGGAAAAGGAACGUAAGGUUGCAGGGAGUAUUUAACUUAUGCAUGCUUUGUUCUAAUAGAAAAACUGGCUCAUUCUUAUCCAUUUUGCAGAGCUCAGGGGAGCCUAAUUUCCAUUUACAAAGAUUCAAGUGCUGGAAUGUCAUCAACUCCUCAAUCAGAAAUACCAAAGCUAGAGAACACAUGGCACUGUCUUGGUGCCCGAGCAGAUAGGAACAAGGAGAAUCAGGCAAUCCCUUCGAAAUGGACAUCUAAUAAGGUCCAUUUGAGUCCAGAGAGUCUAUAUACAAUACUCAAAUUUUAGGUCUGGGCAGAUGGGAACAAGAAAACUCAUUAACAAAAAUGUUUCUUACAGAUUCCUCAAAGACAUGGGCUUAGACACCGAGCAGCUACUACCACCACUCCAUGCCUAGAGAUCUUUGUGGACGAGGAAUGUGCCAAGUGAGUUACAUAGAUACAAUGCUCUUUUCAGUCUGUGUCUCUACAACACAUGGUUAACAGUGUGUAAUUGCAUCAAGCAUACACCACUGAUUUACAUCAAAGUUUCCAGCUAUUGUAGUAGUGUUGGUUUAUAAGAUUUUCAGCACAAUAGAAGGAAAUUUUGGAUUGACUUUCUUUUUUGCCUCUUCAUCUUUGGCAGAACACAGGAGAAGGACUCUGCUGCUGUAAAGGUUUCUAGUCUGCAGCUUAGACGAGGAGAUGACAGAGACAUAAAAAAGUAAGCAACAACUUGGUUUCAUUUUAAUUCUUCACUUCAAUAGCAAUAAUGCAUCUUUUUGACAAUGCACUUGUUUGCAGGGAGACUGAGUUGCUGAGGGAGAAUCCACUGCGUUAUUUUCCACCGAGCUCAUUACCUAGAUGAUCGGACAGAAGAAAGUUAUCAUUGUGUGAUGAGAUUUCUCUAUCUCAAAGUAUGAGACAAUUCCCCAGUGCAAGCGCGUUACAAAUGUUCCAAGUAUAUUGAGUGGAGUGGUCAAAGGAGACAUAUUGUAUCUUUGGUUUUGGCAGGCUUGAGCCAAAAAAUCCUAAGGAAUGAUUUUAUAUGAUUGCAAGAGUUAUUGAUGUAGUUGACAAAUUGUGCUUUAUAAUAAUUUUGCUCUUGGUUGAAGAGUUCUUUCACUUUCCCCUUCUUUUUCCUCUUUCUUAUUUUGUUAGUGGAUUGAGGGUGUUGUUCAAAGACCAAAAAUAGCAAGGCGCGUUCACUGUGGAUUACUAUUUCCUUCUGUUGAAAGAGUAACUUACUACAUUAAGUUAUGGACUUCAAAAGCCUGUCUUUAAAACCUUGUUAUAUUUAAAGCGUGUAAUAUAAAUAUACAGUAUGUGAAUCACAUCACAUAAAUAAUAGCUACAAGUUCAAAAUGCUAACUAGUUUAAAAAUCACAUCCAAGUUCUACAUGUAACUCUGAAAUGAGAUCUUAGUCAAUUACUAUAAGCAGCCGAGACAAGAUCACUUAAGCUGAAACUUGAAAGAGGUUUUCAUCAAACAAUCAAGCGGGUAUUCCGGAGAAAAUAUGUGAUGCAUAAUAAUAUUGUUUUUUUUUUCCCGUUUUUUUAUCCAGUGUCCGAUACUCACAUUGAAAUCCGAUUAAAUUCGGAUUCACGCCGGGAAGUCCCACAUUGUGAGUAAAACGUGUCCUAACGACUCUGUACCUAAGGAGACUCGAACCCAAGACUCUGGUUGUUGGUGAUAUUGCGGGGUGUAAUAAUAUUCGUUUGAUCUAACACUACCAUUAAAAAUAUUGGGUUAUUUCUCUCAAAAGUAAAGCUUUCAGAGUUAAUAUAAUUUGAAGAGAUUAGUUAGGUAUGGGAGAAAAAGGUGAGCAUUAUCCUCUAAGGAGAACCAUAUAGUAAAAAUUUGAUAUAUUAGUAGGGAAAAAAAUCGAAAUAUAAGAGGUAUUAUUAUUAUUUUUUCUAUUAAAACAAGUGUGCUAUCUGUAAUUUUAUCCUUAUUUAUAUAAUAUUUUUUUUACAUAAAUAAGAAAUUAGUACCAAAGAAUUACUAUAUCUUUUUUUUAAAGUAUUUACUAAGAUAAGUUAAUAAAAUCACAUAACUUGUUUUUAGGAAGGAAUAUUUUUUCUUCGAAAGAUAUACCCAAAUUACAGGAAGUACUUGAUAGUUUUUUUUUGAAAAGAUAAGGAAAAAAAAGUAGUAGUAAUAAAAUUAAAAUAAGGAGAAGCAAAGUCGAAUUGUUAUUGGCUGGAUGACAUAGUAAUAGCUUGCAAUUAAUUACCUUGAAAGUCCUUAACAUCUAAGAUACCUCACGGUCAUUAUUAAAUUGGCCCCAUCCAACGUAACAGGACCCGAAAAAAUCUUAUUCAUUAUCCCCCCAAACCUCGACCCAAAUCUCCCCCGUCCGUAUUGCUGGUCCAACAGGCGAUGGUAGAUAACAUCGAUGAUAUCGUUGCGCACAUCAACUGGGACGAUGUAGAUCACAUCUUCCACAACGUUCUACACGAUGAUCUCUUCACUGUUCAUGAUCCCGAUCCCUCUGCACCCAAUUUCCAGGAUAUCGAGCAGCUUCUCAUGAACGACGACGAUGUUGAAGAUCAAGCUGAUACUCAAUUUGCGGCCGAAUUUCUCUCUGAUGUGCUGGUUGAUUCACCUGCUCAGUCCCAUCAAUCUCCCUCUGCUGAAGAAGAAGCCUUUGGAUUCCCCGAUUCCAAGGUUUCUAGUGGAUCCGAGGACGACAAGGACAAGGUCUCUCACUCGCCCUCUGACGCUGACGAACUGAACAACGAUGACCCCAUAGAUAAGAAGCGAAAGAGGUAUCCGCUCUAAAGCUUUGACUUUUUCCCUUUGUACUUUAUUCUCUUUGUUUACUCAUAAUACUUCUCCUUGUUCGAAACUCUUCUACUAGCUCAUGAUUUACACUGUGGCUUCUUUCACUUUUCUUGCUGUAUGGUCUCUCUUCUUUGAAAUUGGUUGACUUGCUGGAAAAAAAUCCUUGUUUUGAUAUCUUUUUUAGUGCAAAUCAUGCUUAGUAAAUGAAAUAAAUAGGUCUGAUGCGGUUUGAAAAUAUCGUUGNNNNNNNNNNNNNNGGUGUCCCCCCCCCCCCCCUCCUCCCCCAUUUCUUUUUCAUUAGUAGUAAGUGUUAUGCAAAAGCCAAUCCACAUUGUGCCUUCUAGCCAAUUCGUGAAUCACUAUUUUUAAACGCGUUCCUCUCUAUGACACUGUGAUAAUUUGACAUCGCACGUUGAUUGCGUUUAUAAUUUGAUUUGGGCUAUGUUUAUAACAUAAUGUUCAUUGUCUGUUGAUUAUGAAACAAAAAUAUGAUUGACACUGUGAUAAUUUGACAUCGCACGUUGAUUGCGUUUAUAAUUUGAUUUGUGCUAUGUUUAUAACAUAAUGUUCAUUGUCUAUUGAUUAUGAAACAAAAAUAUGAUUAUUUUUUUCCAAGUUAAAUUUGUUAAUACUGAUUUUGUCAAAGCACAUGAUGGCUCAACUUUUCCAUUAGUUUGUGACCGUGAACUGAGCCAGGAUACGCUGCAGCGCCUUCCUGGGCUACUGUGAGUGAAGCUGGGACACACCACCAAGUGGGAAGCUUUGCUGAAUAGCAGCUGGUCUGGACUUUUUCUUAGAAGAAAAAACCACGUUCUUAAAAGAUUGCACUUUUUUAGUGUGUGAUGUAUAUAGUAUAUUGAGGAAGAACAUGCAGUUCGCCGUGCUUAAAAUUGCAUAUUAUCAUGUGCAUUUUAAUACACCCUCUCCUGUUCUCCAUCAAGAUGAUGAUGAUAGCAUUGCAUUUAUCUAAUCUGUUAUGUAUAUAGCAGCUUAAAGAAAAUUUUAAUCAAAAGCUUAAAUUUUUAUCUCCAGGCAAUUGAGGAACAGAGAUGCAGCUGUGAGGUCACGAGAGAGGAGGAAGUUGUAUGUUAGGGAUCUUGAGUUGAAGAGUAAAUACUUCGAAUCAGAGUGCAAGAGGCUGGGGUUUGUUCUCCAGUGUUGUCUUGCAGAAAAUCAAGCUUUGCGUUUCUCUUUGCAGAAUAGCAGUGCUAAUGGUGUUUCUAUGACCAAGCAGGAGUCUGCCGUGCUCUUGUUGGGUAAGCAUAAGAAACAUCUUGUCAUUUGGCUAAAAUGCGUUCUUUAUACCACUUUUUGCUGCUAAAAUUUCCCGGACUUGGCGUCUGGAUAACUUUUGAAGCAAGAAACAGACGGGAAUGUCUGACAUUUUUCUAGCUUGCCAUGGUUAUGUUGAAUAGGAAGGUUCAUUAUUUUCUCUAAAUGCCUAUAUUAAUAGAUGCAAUAUGAAUUUGCAGAAUCCCUGCUGUUGGGUUCCCUGCUUUGGUUCCUGGGCAUCUCAUGCCUGCUCAUUCUACCCAGCCAAACCUGGUCAAUUCCAGAAGAAAAUCAGGGAAGCAGAAACCCCGGGCUUCUGGUUCCAAUAAAGAGAGGAAAAAAGACUAGUCGGAGUUUGGCGUUCCUGUCCUUCAUGAUGGGCAAAAGAUGCAAAGCUUCAAGAUCGAGGAUGAAGUUCAACCCCCAUUCUUUGGGAAUUGUGAUGUGACUCGUUCUGAUCAAAUCCUUUCCCUUAGGUGGAUGUGAUGUGACUCUUUCUGAUCAAAUCCUUUCCCUUAGGUGGAUCAUGGUUCCUUUUAGUUCUUUAGUUUGUAUCAGUGACUCUGUGUAUGAGUCUUUCUUUGACAUCUGAAGGACAUAGUACGCUGUUAUUAAUUAAUGACUUAUGAGCUAUAUUUAGAUCUAUGCAGCUUUUUAACAGUUCCAGCUGAAAUUUGCUCGUCUUCAUUUUGCUUUUCUCCAUAUCCUUUUAGCUCCAUAGUGGUAGCUGAGGCUUUGUGGUUUGGGAGCCGUCCUACUAGGACAGCAGAUCAUCCUGCUUCCUAAAUUUCCAGUACUAUGAAUGGAUUAACGUUUAGCAUCUUGAAAUGUGUUCCAAACUUUGAUGGUGGAUCGAACCACCUUGUAUUAUAUUUCUCUUAUUUCCUUUCUCUGAAGGGCUUGGGCGGUCCAAAAAGUAUAUUUGACGAGUUGAAGGCUGAGAUAAUGGGGAAAGAAAAGUGGCAGGGGCAAGCAUUCUCCGCAAAUGUCUGCACGCCCUCCUUUCUUCUCUCUUUUGCGUGGGCAACAUUGGAGAAAGAAGGAAAUGUCUUUUGCAAUGGGUAAAAUAUUAAACUGGGGGCGCUGCUGGAAAAUUAAGAUGGAAAACAGGCUCCUGAUGCCAUCAUAAAGAUCAAAGUUGGUUGUCAAAUACGAAAAUGCUCCUGAGGAAGUUUUGUCCCCAUCGACAAGUUAGGUGAGGGUAUUCUAGGUGAAUAUCCACAUUGCUCAACCUGCCCGUGGGACUCCGAAUUUACGUAACUAUCCUCAAGGGCAUAUUCCUUUGCCGAUUCCUACAUGAACUUUAUUACUCACACCUCUUGGCUAAUGAUGAUCAUCGUGUUUUUAUAAUCCUAAUAGUAAUAUUUGCUUGCAAGUGUCAAUACAGUCAUUGUGAAAAUUUGAGGGAAAUCAAGUUUGAUGUAGUAAUAAAUCGAACUAUAUAUGUUUUUCAAACAGUUUUAUAAUUUGUUAAUAACAAAUGAGGUAACUAAGAAAUAAGAUAAAAUUGAUUUAACAUAAAGCGUAGCAUCAUUUUUCAAUGAAGGACAGGGACUAUAACUUUUUUGAUACUGUGUUCUGAGGAUUGUGCAAUCAAUCGAUCUAUUUAUGCACAUUCGUCCUAUGAGAAUUCAAAACAAAUUAUGCUCAAAUCCUUUUUUUUGGACAACGUUACAAUUUGUGCUCACAUGUAUUAAUCCAGAUCAUUUAAAGUGGAUGCCAAAUGAGUGAUUAACAUGUGAUGGGAGGUCAUAUUUGCUUAAACAGCAUAAAGGGUGGUUUGGUCAUUGCAGAAAAAAGCGAAUGGCUGUAUGGUGAAAUUGUGGGAAAAGCAAGGGCAUAUAUAUAUAAAGAUAGAGCUAGAAAGCCCGGUAACGUAAAACAGGUUGCUGUGUAGUUGUUGGUUGUAUCGCCCCAAUAGCCCCACUCCUAUAUAAGCAAACGGAGGGACGGACGGUCUUUUCAGAGUUUAAAGAGACUGACAAACAGAACACAUUAUUAUUACUUAUUAUUUAUUAUAGCAAACAGGGAAGUGAGGGAGUGUAGUUAGGUAUAAUUAUAGCAAACAGGGAAGUGAGGGAGUGUAGUUAGGUAUAAUCAGAAUGGAUGCAGAUUACGGCAUACCUCGACAACUCUCUGAUUUGCAAAAACUUCGAUCUCAGUAUCAGCCUGAACUUCCUCCUUGUCUUCAGGUACUGCUUCUAUUCAACUCUUACCAUGUGCAUCAUGCAGCGAAAAGUUGGUUUCCGUGCCUUUGGCAGCCGUAACUAGUUUAUGGCAGUGUGUUUCUCUCCCUAUAUAUCAGCGUCCUGAAGAAUAGAUCUAACCUGGCAGAUCACACAUACAAUACUGUUUUCUAUUGUCAUACUACCAUUUUCUUGUGUGUCUUCCCUCGUAUUUUAUUCAUAUCACAUGUAUUCUCCAUCAAUCUACUUCAUCUGAGUUCCUACACUAUUUGUUCAACUUACAAGUAAUUUCAUGGUCUAAAAAAUACUAGACAAAGUUGGUACCUUGUGUGUUUACGACUUUUUACAUGUAUUAUGAAUAGUAUCCUUUUCCAUUUUUCUUAAAAGAUUUCACUCUGCUCCUCCAUAUAUCCUUUUCCUCUCGCGAUCGGGCAGCCGGCCGAAAAGUCGUAUCUUUAAUUUUUCAUCUGAUAAAGGUCCCCUCUUUACUUCUACCGAAGUCUUCUGUUGCCCUUUUUGAAACUAAUUAUCAGAAAAAAUGCUGCUAAACUUUACAAAAUAAUACUUAGAAGUUGCUCGGAUGUCUCUUUGGCUGUCCUGAGACAUUUAUUGGCGUCUAGUUCUUGUAGUUAGAUGCAUCACCACUUUGUUUGAUUUUUUACAUUUAGGUUACUCAGUUUGAUUUUAUGUAUGAUAUUUAAGAUCCUUAAGCAAUUUUUCCUUUAACGCUAUUGCUUUAACAUCUUCGAUCCUGACUUUAUUCCUAAUUGCUCUGACUUAUACAGGGUACUACUGUCCGGGUGGAGCUGCGUGAUGCAACCACUGCAGCAGAUCCCUUUGGUGAACACACAAUUAAACGGUUCUUCCCACACACUUACGGUCAGCCAUUAGCCCAUUUUCUGAGGGCAACUGCAAAGGUCCCUGAUGCUCAGAUAAUUACUGAACAUCCUGCAAUUAGGUAUUGCAUCUGUCAAUUGCUUCAUAAUUCUGCAGUUUACUCGCAAACUAGAUCAGCAUUGUGAUCAUGAGUUGUUUUCUAACAAAUUCUAUGGUGAAUUUAUUUAGGUUUAUGGAUCUACUUUCUCUUUUUGAUAACUUUCCUUUUGUUUUGUCUUUGAUUGAAUUCCUCUUCUAUUUACAUCCUCAAAAUCUUAACCCAAGGGAACUAAUAGAAAAUAUUGGUAUAUGCAUUAAAAGCUAACUCACAUAUAGGUUACAAUAAAACAAGUGUUCUCCUAAUCUCUUUGAUAGGACUGAAAAAUGUGCUCACUGAUCCUCUCUUUUGUUAGGGUUGGGGUGGUGUUUUGUGGUAGACAAUCUCCUGGAGGACACAAUGUGAUAUGGGGUCUUCAUGAUGCUCUUAAGGUUCACAACCGCAAAAAUAUCUUGCUUGGGUUUUUAGGUAAGCAUUUCCUUUAUGAUGGUUCUAGCUAUAAGUUCUUUACACAUUUUUCAUUUGAGAACUUCUUUAUGACAAUUAUUGGGAUACUGCAGUAAUAGCCGACACAAGUCUCUAUUUGCAAAUCUACUUCACCGCGAUCUCCCUGAGUGUCUCUUUGCAUGUGUCAUGUGUAAUAUUUCGACGGUCAUGCCCUACUGUCGGACAAUUACUUUUCUUGUCAUGCUCUAAUGGUUUCAGUUGCCUAAUGUGUUGAAGCUCUCUUUUCCAAAUCUUAACAGGUGGUUCAGAAGGUUUAUUUGCACAAAAAACUCUAGAGAUCACCGAUGAUGUUCUUGCUACAUAUAAGAAUCAAGGUAAUUCACAUCUGAAUGAAGAUUGCAUUUUAUAUUUUCAUUUAUAUUUUUAUUUUCCCUCUCUAUCUCUACGAGGUAGAAGUAAGGUAUGCCUACAGUCUAUCCUCCCCAGAGCCCCCUUGUGGGAUUUCACUGGGUAUGUUGUUGUUUCUUUUUUGGCUUAUUUUUGUUGCCUUUUUCCCUAUGAAGGUGGAUAUGACAUGCUGGGACGGACAAAAGAUCAAAUUAGAACGACUGAGCAAGUAAAUGCUGCAAUGGAUGCAUGCAAAACUCUGAAACUGGAUGGCCUUGUCAUCAUUGGAGGUAUUCAUAUUGCUACUUUUAUUAAUGGUAUAUGAUAGAACUUCAAGGAUGCACUAUUCCACUUAAUAUAAAUUCUAAAAAUAUGCAUUGGCUUGAAGGAGUGACAUCAAACACCGAUGCUGCUCACCUGGCAGAAAAAUUUGCAGAAACAAAAUGCCCUACAAAAGUAUGUGUUAUUCCCACUAUGUCGUGUAAAGCAAUGAAUAGAGGCAGUAUCAUACUAAAAUUUGUCUUUAUCUUCUUUAGGUGGUUGGUGUUCCUGUUACAUUAAAUGGGGAUCUCAAGAAUCAGUUUGUGGAAGCAAAUGUUGGUUUUGACACAAUAUGCAAGGUAUUAAUACAAUCACCAUCACAGAAUUAGCUCAUAACUAGCUUUCCUUUUUCCUUUGAAAUGCAUUGCCCUGGAGAAUCUUCUUCUUCAUGCUUCCCAUCCCUUGAUUGAGGGUCGGUUUUUUCGUUUCUAGGUAGGCCGAGGGUUUGAUUGGACCUACUGCUUCUAUCUUCAUCUUCUUUCUUGUUGUUCUUUGUAGUGGAAUUUCUGCUGGCAUCAUUCCUUGCUUGAUGGUAUAUUCCCUUGGGUAGAUGUAGGGUUUUGCAUUGUUGAUUGCACUUCGAUGGGCUUUUUGAUGGGGAAUAGUUCCUCUUUCGCUUUGUGAUGUUGUGCAUGUUCAUUGAGUAGUACAAGCUUCACACUAGCUGAGUUGUGUCUUUUGACUUCUUAAUUUCUGGAAUUCUAUCCAAUUGUGAGGUAGAUCAGGGAAAAGCUAAUUACAUGUGGUUCCACCUCAGGUUAACUCCCAACUAAUUAGCAAUGUAUGCACUGAUGCACUCUCAGCUGAGAAGGUACCAACUCUAUUCAUAUCCUGCAAUGUUUUUCGUUGCUGCUUCUGAUGUAGUUGGGUGCUGAAAAUACAACAUAGAAUACUAAUCUGGUAUAACAAAAUUCUGGUGGAGGAUUGUUCACAUUAGUUGAUUAUGAUUUACAGCACAUGUUUCUUGUUACACCUCUAUUUUUGUCUUUAUAUUAACAUACUAUGGGCAUAUUUCCUUUUCAGUAUUACUAUUUUAUCAGACUCAUGGGGCGGAAGGCAUCACAUGUUGCAUUAGAGUGCACUCUGCAGUCGCAUCCUAAUAUGGUUUGUUUCAUCUCUGAACUGAUAAGCUGGUGCUGCAGCUUGGACAUGGUGCUUCUUAUAUAUUAUAAGUGUUCUUGCUUAAGAACUGUUGAUCUUUCUUGCAGGUGAUUCUUGGAGAGGAGGUAGCUGCAUCAAAGCUUACUAUUUUUGACAUCACACAACAAAUUUGUGAUGCAGUUCAGGCUAGGGCUGAGCAUGGUAUGAAACUACUAGGUCAUCAUUUUUCUGUAAGUCAUUUUUGAGUUUUUUGUUCAGCUGACAAAGGUUUUGCAAUCAGAUAAAAAUCACGGUGUUAUCCUGUUGCCUGAGGGGCUUAUAGAAAGUAUUCCCGAAGUAUAUGCUCUAUUGCAGGUAAGAAUGCAUCUUCCAUGUUGAGUUUUUAAUGCUAGAAAGCUUUGUUUGGAUGUAGAUUUGGUUAUGACAUUGCCUUUUCUGGUUAACUGUAUGAAUAGGAAAUUCAUGGUUUACUCAGGCAAGGUGUUUCUUCUGAUAAGAUUUCCUCUCAACUAUCACCAUGGGCUUCUGCACUUUUCGAUUUUUUACCGCAUUUUAUCAGAAAACAGGUGCUGUUUCUGUUUGUGUAUCAAUUGACUGACUCAAGUUUCAUUAGGAUAGUGCUUACACCCCUAGACUUGUGAUUUUGCAGCUUCUCCUGCACCCAGAAUCAGAUGACUCUGCUCAGCUAUCGCAGGUAACUACUGUUGCUGUUUGGAUGUGUUGCUUGAUGAUAUAUGAGCUAUCUGUUGAUUUUCUUUAAUGCUUCCUUACAGAUUGAGACUGAGAAACUUAUAGCUCAUCUUGUGGAAACAGAAAUGAACAAGCGGUUGGUAAGUUAAUAAAAUUCAAUAUGGUGCAUCUAAUGAUUCAUUGAGAUCUCUAACAAGUGAUUGGAGAGUAAGAAGUAUGAUGUCCUGCAAGGAUUGAGGAUGAUAUUUGUGCAAACAAAGAUAUUUUGGAAUACCCCGGGACUUCUAGGAAGUUACUCAAAUUAUCUCUUUCUCCCAUUUAUGAAAAAAAUGUUACUUUUUCUCCAUUCUGCUUAUUACCUUAAAAUGGAAUGAUGUAGUAUCUGCAAGGGCUCAAACAUCAGGUGGAUAAAAUUUCCUCAUUGCACAAAAUUUUCAUCUUCAGCCAUUCGUUCGUUUUCCUAGGAUGGAAUCAGCGUCUGAUGAUCAAUCUUUCUUUUCUCGUUUUGUUUUCUGCAAGAUGCUUCUUGUUACUUUCGGCUUAACAUGCUAUUGGUAGGUGAGAGUUAGAAGGAAAAAGAGUGCAGCUACAUACUCUUGAGAGAUGCUUGCUCCUGAUUUUUAAUGUAUGACUGUCCUAUUUCUUUUGUCACUUUUCAGAAAGAAGGAACUUACAAAGGAAAGAAAUUUAAUGCUAUUUGCCAUUUCUUUGGUUACCAAGCACGGGGAUCAUUGCCAUCAAAAUUUGAUUGUGACUAUGCCUAUGUAAGUUUUGCUGGAGUUGCUUUAUCUUGUUUCUAAUUUUGAUUUUCAGAUACAUAAUUCCGACAAAACCAAAUGCAGGUACUUGGUCACAUUUGCUACCAUAUUUUAGCUGCUCGUCUCAAUGGUUACAUGGCUACUGUGACCAACCUGAAGAAUCCUGCUAACAAGUGGCAUUGUGGUGCUGCCCCUAUAUCUGUAAGCUUCUUUUUCGAACUUCCUCAGAGAUGCACCCCCCUAAACUCCCACUUUUUUUGAAGUUGCAAAUAUUCACUUCCCCAAAAAUGGUUUACUCUGACUGUUUUGUAACUGCAGGCAAUGAUGACUGUUAAGCGUUAUGGUCGUGGUGCCGGCCAAGCAUCAAUUGGAGUACCUGCUUUGCAUCCUGCUACUGUGGAUUUGAAGGGAAGAUCAUACGAGUAUGUCAAUUUCUGACUUGUAUAUAUUUUCAGCUUAAAAUGCAUGGAGUUGUUGAAGUUCAAAAGGUAGGAAAUGGACAUCAAAAGAAAAGGAGACGUUUCUUUAGAACUGGAAGUCUGAACAUGCUUUUUGCUUGUAAACUGCUGGAACAAUACUUAUCCUCUUGCCGUGCCUAACUUCUUUCUUCAAUUUGGUGCAGGUUGUUGAGUCAAAAUGCAACAAAGUUUUUGUUGGAUGAUGUUUACAGAAAUCCAGGCCCCCUCCAGUUUGAUGGCCCUGGUGCAGAUGCCAAGGCCGUUACCCUUUGUGUUGAAGACCAGGAUUAUAUGGGUCGUAUUAAGAAAUUGCAGGAGUACCUGGACAAGGUGCUGAAUUUUGAAACAUCUCUUUUUACCAAAUUCUGUUGGCUAUUCAUUUUGACGUGUCAUUUCUGAAUCUUUGUGACAUGCUUUGUUAUUUUAUUUUCAUUUUCUUUUCAGGUGCGUGCAAUUGUGAAGCCUGGAUGCUCACAAGACGUCCUGAAGGCUGCAUUAAGUGCCAUGGCUUCUGUGACUGACAUUCUUUCAGUGAUAUCGUCGCCCUCAAGUGCGAGCACGCCAUUUUAGAUGAGAACCACCAUCUUUUAACAUUGAGAAGAUUUGGAGGAGCUCCUGCUUUGCACGCCAAAGAUGGGCUCUUGGAUCUAGGUGCAGAGCAGCUUCUUGAUUGUGAUUAUAUAAGUUUCCAUCUUUGGCGGCUGUUUGCUUAGUUGUUUUGUGCAUUUUUUUUUUGUUUUUUCCUAUUUUGUAAAAGCAAAAUAAUGUUGAGAAGAUUAUAAAAGAGUGUUUGUUGAGGGAUCCAAAUAUUCCUGUGUGGCAGCUGUUGCAUGCAUAGUCCUUCAAAACAAUUUUCUUGUUGACUAAACAACCUGAUUCGAUCGAACUUGACAUCAAAAAUGGUAUUUGCGUUUGAACAUGAGUUUUAUAUAUGAAGUAGAAGUUGAAAUUUGAAAAUUUAUGAAUGCAAUUACUAUUUCACUUAAAAUACUCUUUAACAUACGUUUUAAUAUUUCAUCAGUAUAAAGGUACUGAAGUUUGUAUCACGUAUUAUUUACAGAGGGCCAUUUUAUAGUAGUAUUAUUUAUAAAUAGACCUUGCAUAAUCAAUAGCGAGGUCCUAACAGUAAAUCGUCGUAGCUUGGGACGAGAAAUCUUGAAAGAGAUAUUGUUGAAACAUCACCACCCAUAUUCUUCCUAUGCCACAUACCAUUGAAAAAUUUAGUCAAAAGAAGCUUUUUCUAUUUCUUUUUUUAAAACAAUUAAUAAGCCAAACUUGUAUGUACUGUGUAAAACUUCAGUUUAGAAUCAAGAAAAACUUUCAUGGUAUAUCUAUUUACCAUGAAAAAUGCCGUCAAACCAUCUUUGCAAAACCAUGCAGACAUUGCUAACUUCUAUGCAGUCCAACUCCAACUUCUUUGCCGGCGGCAUAAGCACGCCACUUCAGUGUCUGCUCUUGUCCGAUCAGUCCAUGCCAACAUGAUCACCUCCGGAUUCAGACCACGUAGCCACAUGCUUAAUCGCUUAAUCGAUAUCUAUUCCAAAUAUUCCAGUCUUGUUUAUGCAAAGCGCCUGUUCGAUAAAAUUCCCCAACCAGAUGUCGUGGCCAGAACAACUAUGAUUGCUGCAUACUCUGCUUCCGGAGAACCCAAGCUUGCAAGAAGCGUUUUUGACAAAACCCCAUUAAGCAUCCGUGAUACUGUUUGUUACAAUGCGAUGAUUACAGCCUAUUCACACAACAAUGACGGCCAUGCUGCUAUAGAAUUAUUUCUUGAUAUGAGGUGGAAAAGUUUUCGGCCCGAUGAGUAUACCUACACCUCCGUACUUGCAGCAUUGGCCCUUAUAGCUGAUCAUGAAAUGCACUGCCGGCAGCUGCAGUGUGCUGUCGUGAAGUCAGGCAUGGCUAACUUUAAGUGUGUUGUCAAUGCACUUAUAUCUGUUUAUGUCAGAUGUGCUUCGUCACCCCUAGCAUCGUCCUUGCUGUUGAUGGAUGCAGCUAGCAAGCUGUUUUACGAGAUGCCAGAGCGGGAUGACUUGUCUUGGACUACGAUUAUCACAGGGUAUGUGAAGAAUGAUGAUCUUGAUGCUGCUCGAAAGGUGUUUGAUGGUAUGGAUGAGAAGUUGCUUGUGGCAUGGAAUGCCAUGAUCUCUGGAUAUGUGCAUAAAGGUCUCUUCUUUGAAGCAUUAGACAUGUUUAGGAAAAUGUAUUUAGCAGGGAUGAAGCCAGAUGAGUUUACCUGCACUAGUAUCCUCAGUGCUUGCGCAGAUGCGGGAUUGUUUCUUCUAGGAAAGCAGGUACAUGCUUAUGUUAGACGAACAGAAGAGGAAAUUCACGUGUCUGUAUGCAAUGCUUUAAUAACAUUAUAUUGGAAAUGUGGUAGAGUUGAUGAUGCAAGAAAAGUUUUUGAUAAUCUACUCUUUAAGGACCUUGUUUCAUGGAAUGCAGUUCUAUCAGCAUAUGUGAGUGCAGGACGGAUUAACGAAGCUAAGUUAUUUUUCAAUGAGAUGCCAGAGAAGAAUUCCCUGGCAUGGACAGUAAUGAUAUCAGGAUUAGCACAAAAUGGACUUGGAGAAGAUGCUCUCAAACUGUUCAACCAAAUGAGAGUAAAGGGGAUCGAGCUGUGUGACUAUGCAUUUGCAGGAGCUAUUACAUCUUGUGCAGUGCUUGGAGCGCUAGAUACAGGAUGCCAGCUCCAUGCCCUGCUAAUUCAGCGUGGUUAUGAUUCAAGUCUUUCAGCUGGAAACGCGUUAGUAACAUUUUAUGGAAGAUCUGGGGUCAUUGAAGCUGCACGUAAUGUGUUUCUCACAAUGCCUUGUGUAGAUUUGGUGUCCUGGAAUGCAUUGGUUGCUGCCUUGGGACAGCAUGGAUAUGGUGUUGAAGCGGUUGAACUUUUUGAACAGAUGUUACAUGAAAAUAUAACGCCUGAUAGGAUAAGCUUUCUCACGGUUAUAUCUGCUUGUAGUCAUGCAGGAUUGGUUGAAAAAGGACGACACUACUUUAAUAUAAUGCACAGUGUUUAUAAAAUAAAACCAGGAGAAGAUCACUAUGCCCGUUUAAUCGAUUUGUUAUCUCGAGUUGGAAGGUUAUUAGAAGCAAAAGAAGUGAUCCAGAAUAUGCCUUAUAAACCUGGAGCACCUAUUUGGGAAGCUCUUCUUGCUGGUUGCCGCACUCAUAAGAACGUGGAUUUGGGGGUUGAAGCAGCUGAAAAACUCUUUGAGUUGACGCCACAACAUGAUGGAACAUACAUACUUCUGGCUAACACAUUUGCUGCUGCAGGCCGAUGGGAUGAGGCUGCUAAGGUGCGAAAACUUAUGAGAGAUCAAGGGGUAAAAAAAGAGCCUGGAUGUAGUUGGAUUAAAGUUGAGAAUACCGUUCAUGUCUUUUUGGUGGGUGAUACUGCACAUCCUGAAAUUCAAGUAGUGUACAACUACCUGGAGGAAUUAAGGCUGAAGAUGAGGAAAAUGGGAUAUGUUCCAGACACGCAAUAUGUGUUGCAUGAUAUGGAGACUGAGCAAAAGGAGUAUGCGCUAUCAACUCAUAGUGAAAAGCUGGCGGUUGUAUUUGGGAUCUUGAAGCUUCCUCGUGGAGCCACAAUUAGGGUCUUCAAGAACCUUCGGAUUUGUGGUGACUGCCACAGUGCACUCAAGUUCAUGUCGAAGGUUGAAGCAAGAGAAAUCAUCGUCAGAGAUGGAAAUAGGUUUCAUCAUUUCAGAGAUGGUGAAUGCUCAUGUGGGAAUUACUGGUGAGAUAUUGGAUAACAAUUAGUGUCAACUAUUGAGUGUCUUGGUUUCAGAGAUUUGAAGACGUCGUUCUUGAACCGAUUGUGUUGCCAGGGAAAAGUUACAGCACCUUUGGACAGUAAAUGUUAAGACUUAAAAGCUAGAAUAGGAAUAAGCUGCUAUCUUGUUUGUCUUUGGCAUUUUGAAUACAGAUCUGCAUGGCGAAUGUUUCUGGUUUGUGGCUUCCGGUUUAGUGAAUGCUCAUUGGUACCUUCUACAUACUUAAGGUAUAAUUAAUUAAUGAAAUCAAGAUCGCAUAUACCUUAUAGUUAUACACAACUGAGUGAUUAUCAAGGAAAAGGCGUGCAGCUCCAGAAUGCUGCCACUUUGUGAAUAUUUGCCGUGAUUUGAGUGUCAAAGGGUGGAGAGACUCUCUGCUUGUUUCGUGGUAGGGGAAUGUGCAGUUGCAAUUUCUAGAAUCCUCAAGCAUGAAGGUACUAAUAUCAGAGAAAUAUGUUUCCAUGAAACAAGUUUCUGUUAUAAACCUAGCCAUGGUGGAGGAUCCAUAAUUUGCAGGUACUCCUUCGUUGUGCUUAGGAAAAAUUCCACUCUAGUUCUGGUUAUUCAUUUUGAUGUCUUUAAGAAUUGGCAAUUGCUGGUCAAGUCUCAAAUUUCUCAUUCUGUUGGACCGGAGUAUCACGUUGAGAUAUUUUCCUUUGUGGAUAAAGAUCAAUUGAAACCUUGUGCCAUUUGGAUGCAUAAUAAGGUUCUGUCUGUUGUUGGGCUUCGACAAAAUGAAGUCAAUCCAAUGGUGUCUGUAAUGAAGUUUGAAAAAGCUCCUUCAGAGUUAUAUGCUGAUUUUGGUGGAUUAGACAUGCAAAAUCAGGAGCUUACAGAAGUUGUUGAGCGUCCUUUGACUCACCCCAAGCUUUCCGAAAACGUUGGCUUUAAGCUUCCUACAUGGAUCGUUCUUUAUGGAAAACUUGAAGUUGGCAAAACAAUGUUUGCAAAGGUAGUCGCUCAACCCUGCAAAUUUUCCUACCUUCUUGCUACAAAAGCUGCUAAGGAUGCUAAUUUGAUCUUGUCCUUCCAUUCCAAUUUGAAGCUAUUUGCAGCAAGUGCUAGAAAACAAAUUACUCCGACGUCAUGGGAAAAAUUAUUUACAUUGCUCCAGCUGGUCAAUACUCUCCGAAGUUUAUUGUUCUUGAGCUCGAGUUUCAAGGUGCCAAAAAGCAAUUUACUCUGCUCCAGACUUGGCCAGUGCAUACACCUCGGCUUAUUUCAGUAAGGUUGGCUGCUGCUACUUUUAUUACUGGACAGUGUGUUCUUGAGUGCAUUUGGCUUUGGGAAAACCAUGGCUAGUCGAGCCCUUUCCCUGUACUCAAAUUUAGACUAUGCUAUCUAUGUUGGUUGGGGGGAAAGUGAGAGUGAAAUUGCAGAGGAGCUAAUGGAUUUUCCUCAAUUGACAAUGACAUUGCCCGAGAGACAUGAAGAAUUUGUCAUGAAAAAUACCACACUUGUUGCUAAUACUUUGGACAUGUCAGUGGCUGCUCAUGAGGCUUCUGUAGCCGAAUAUUUUAGAUACACAGGCUACAACAUCAGCAUGAUGGCAGAUUCUACAUGUCAUUGGGUCAGAGCUUAAAUGUUGCAGGGGGUUAUUUCACAAGUUGUAAUGUUUGUCAUAUUAAACUGCUGAACAUAACAUGAAAGUAACACUUUUAGAGUUGUAUAACAAUGAGAUAACAGAUCCUUUUGCUUCAGAAAAAUUUUCAAAUUUUACAUAUGACAAAUCCGAGAAACCAUUGGCUCUUAUGGGAAAUAGAAAGGGUUCAUUAGAGGCUUGGACGAGGGGAUGGUAUGUUCUGAAAAUGGAAUAAGUAAUAUUUUGGAGAGAGCUUCUGUUAGAAGGCGUACGACAGAGACUGAACUUUUAGAAGCAGACCAUGUGCUUACAUUAUUUCCUGAGGUAUGUAUAAAAUGGAGACGUCGUAACUCAGGAAAAGUACUAGUUUCCAAGUUCUUUGAAUGGAACAAAAAGGUGUUAUGAAACUUGUGAAAUGUGAUGGAGCUGGUAUUUACUUUCAUCCUUUAGCUGUUCCACUAACUGAAGCUAAGGUAAAGGACAACAUUUAUUUUGUUAGCAAAAAUAAGGAUGACACAAGCUUUGUUGAAAUUUUAGGUUGCGAGGGAGUGGGACAAUGAUGUUGCUAUGUUCACUUUCUGGCAUCAUAUUCAUUGCUAUGAACUAAAUUAUCUCUGAUUCUGGGGAAGUCCACCUUAGUUUUCUUGCCUUAGGAUUUGGAUUGUUAUUUUGUUUUAAGUUGAAUGAAUUUGAUUGAAUGGGUUUCUCUUUAGUUUCAACUUUUUAUCUUUUUGGACUUCUAUGAAUUCAUUGUUCUGCAUUCUCUUUGCGUCUGGUCUUUGAUUAUAACCACACCCGUUUUAGCUAGAAUUUCAUUUUAUAAAUGGUUUAUUGCGUUCCGUAUCUACAUGCUGAAAGUUACCUCAUUUGCCUGUUUCCUCCGAAAGAUGUGAUUCUUUUCUUUUAUUGCAGUAGUAUAGCUUACCUAUGCAAAAAGAGCACCUUUAUGUCCUCCACUGAGCACUCUCCACUUGUCCUGAUGAUUCCAUCUGGCAACAUCUACCAGAUUUAAUUGACUAUCUUUCGCAAUCAUUGCUUAAAACAAGCAUAGGGCUGAAGGGAGACUUGGUUUGCUGCAAUCGUCCUCGGGUUUGCACAUUUCUUUCUAUAGCAAGUGAACUGCUUUUUCACGUGUCCUUCGGUUUGUGGCCGUUCUGAUCAGCUCUAUGCUUUUCAAGAUGCUCUGUGCAGCAGAUAUACUUGUAUUUCGAGGAGUUUCCCCCUAAUAUCUGGUGCAGAGUGCUGAUCUUUUUGCGUAACUCAACUAGACCAGCCACUCUUUAAUAGAGUUCUUUGAAGUGGCUUUAUUUAGGCUUUGUCCCAGCCACUGAAAAUCAUUGUUUUUUGGAUCAUUGAAGUUUUGCUUGAAGAACAAUUGAUCUUAGCAAACUCUGAAAUCAAGCUCGCAUUCGAAUUCAUUCUUGAGAAGAACCAAAGGAUUUGACAGAGGUUGUAGAUACUAAAAGUUAUACUCCUCACUUUAGUAUAGAUUCAUUUUUCUCGUCUUUUAGGGUUGGACACAAAAGUUUGUUUACAUAUGUUAAGUUUUACUUAACUACUUACCUCUCUUGGAAUCUUACAUUUGCACGUGUUGUAAUUUGAUAAUUUUGUUUUAGCAUGGUUUUUGCCCCCUUUCAUGCUUCUGAUUGUUCUUCCAUAAUUUGACUUCGCAUUUAUCUACAGGUAAUGGAAACAGAGCUGAAGAAAGCAGAAUUAUCACCUUUUCCAUUAUGUUGUAGAGUGAUAUUCCCAAGAAGAAUCUCCUUGCAAUGUUUGUUUGGCAUAUUUAAUUGGAUAAAUUACGAUUGUUAAUAUUUUAAUAGGAGAAUUGAGAAAGUGGGAAGAAGACUUAAACUUUUCACAAAGGUGUGUUGUUUGCUUAAAUGGACAACAGAUAUAACAAAUGUCCUGUUGAUUACAUUUUUCAAUUAGAAAGAAUGGGACGGCUUCUUACAAGUACAAUGUUAAGAAAAAGACACGGACGGUUGCAUUUGGUAGAAUCGUUUUCACUCACCGAAGUACUAAAAGACAGUUUACAUUUCAUCUAGAAUAGAAGUUUCUUUUGUCUCUAGCGCAAUGGAUCCAUUGCAUAGGAAGGCCUACUCGAUGUUAUCAAUGUGACAAGACACAGAUUUUCUUGCCGUCCAUGUUGAUGUCACAGCAAAGAUCAUAAACAGAAGAAGUCGUGAGUUGUUCAGUCUCUUCUUUCCUUUCUGGCAGUAGUAGAUUUUCUGGCAAAUUGGUUUGGACAAUGGAGCAAGGGAGAGUUGAGAAAGCACAUCAUAUUGUGGUGCUAGCAGAUCAGGGACAGGGCCAUAUUAAUCCAAUGCUCCAAUUCUCAAAACGCUUGGCUUCCAAAGGAAUCAAAAUCACUGUAGCCACCACACUCUCCAAUGCCAAGGCCAUGAAAGCUGCUUUUUCCGACUCCAUGAUCACUUUUGAAUCUAUCUACGAUGAUUGCUCCGAAGGUGGGGUGGUAGGACCUGGAGGUUUUAAAGGAUUUCUAGACAGAUUCCAAGCCAGUGGCUCAACAAACCUCACUAAAUUCAUCUCGGAUCAAGUGCAUACUGAACGCCCUGUAAAGUGCCUUGUUUAUGAUGCUAACAUUUCCUGGGCUUCCAAUAUUACAACCCAAUUGGGCAUAGCUGGCGCGGCCUUUUUCACUCAGUCAUGUGCUACUGCUGCUACCUACUAUCCCAUGUACUGUGAGGUUUAUGAGAAGACUCCUCCUUCCAUGCCUAGUUUUCCGGUCAUGACAGGAUUGCCCAAGCUCAGGUUUCCGAAUCUGCCAUCUCUUGGCUGUAGCGCUGGUCGUUAUCCCCCAAUAAUCAUGCACAUACUUGGCCAGUUUGACAACUUUGAAAAGGCAGACUGGGUCCUCUUUAACUCAUUCGAUAAGUUGGAAGAAGAGGUAGGUACACCAUACUCCCUUUGCUCUUUCAAUCUCUUCUAGCUAGUCUUGAUUAUGUAUGCUUGCCAAACUUGAGGGCAAGAAGUUAAUUACAGUUCAGGCUGCUAAGUAUAGUUUUCAUGUAGAAGAACUGUAACUUAAGGAACUUACGACGGGUAUUUGAUUUGUUGUUCUCAUGCUUUAAAAGAUUAUAACAAAAAUGUGCAUCAAAGUAUAUAGAAACAGACGAGAAAUUUUCUCUAUUCCUAUAACUUGCUGGAGUUUUUCAGAGCCAAGUUUAACCUGGUGGGACAGGUAUACAUUUGCUAUAUGCUUGAUUUUGAGGAAGAUGAAUUGUUUGACUCACUCAGCUAGUUCGUCUGAAUUUAGGUUGUCGAUUGGAUGAAGAAACUUUGGAAUGCAGUAACGAUAGGUCCAACGUUGCCAUCAUUUUAUCUUGACAAACGAGUUGAAAAUGAUAACGAGUAUGGCUUCAAUGUUCAUAAGCCAAAUUCCAGCAAGUGCAUGGAGUGGCUUGACAAUAAGAAGACUGGAUCGGUCGUCUACGUCUCUUUUGGAAGUGCAGCAAAUUUGAGCACAGAACAAAUAACAGAAGUAGCUGAUGCGCUCAGGCAAAGCAACGUUAUGUUCUUAUGGGUGGUGAAACCAGAUGAACAGAGAAAUCUUCCCAGCGAUUUCACCAGAAAGACAUCAGGUAAGGGAUUGGUUGUGACAUGGUGCUCACAAUUAGCGAUACUAGCACAUCAUGCAAUUGGAUGCUUCAUAUCACACUGCGGAUGGAACUCAACCUUAGAAGCAAUAAGCUUCGGUGUUCCCAUAGUUGCAGUGCCUCAAAUUUUAGACCAAAUAAUCAAUGCGCAUUUUCUAGAGAGAGUUUGGGGCGUGGGAUUGAUAGCAAAAGCAAAUGAGGGCGAUAAAGGCGUUACUGCAAGUGAGGAGAUAUGCAGGUGCAUCAAGGAGGUUUUAAGGGGGGAGAGAGGGCAAGAAAUUAGAAAGAAUAUAACUAGCUUGAAAGAAUUGGCUAAGGAGGCCAUCGACACAAGUGGAAGUUCAGACAAACAUAUCGAUGAGUUCAUUGCACAGCUUGAUCCUGCCUACUUGAGACAGAGAUCAAACUGCAACUGAAAUUUUACAAUUUAUCGGACUUGCAUUGUAGGGAUUUGAGAGCUCUGAUCUCAUUACACUAUUUUGCUACCUUACAUCUCAGUAGAGCUAGAGCUAGUCCCAUCCUUCUUCUCCACAAUUUUUGGGAUACUAGCAAGCCCCACAAACAACUUUACGUGCUUGACCAGAUGGGGGAGAUCACGUACCUUUGUCACCCACUUGGGCUUCACUUGGGAAAAUACUCCAAUACUAUUACGGUUCGUUUGGUUUGAAAGCAAGUUAUGCUGGAAUUAGUUAUGUUAUGAUAAGUUAUGAUGAAAUUAUUUCUUAUUGAGUGUUUGCUUUGUCAUAUUCAAAAUACUCUCCCGUUCCAAAUUUUCUAAUUUGAUUUCUCCUUUUCCUUGUCUUUUUGCAUUAAUCAAGACAAGAUAAAUUUUUUUUUCCAUUAUACCCUUAGUAAUUGAUUACUCCUUAUUAGUAGCAUUGAAUUAUCAAAUCUUGGAAAAUGUUGCAAAGACUUUAGUAAUCCUAUAAUCCUAAUUAUCCAUGCAAAAAGCGCUUAUAAUGACUCCAUUAAUAUUAGAACUAACAGCAUGACACAAUUAAUAGAGGUAAAAUGGUAAAGUUACAUUACUGAUCAUUGUUUUCUUAAUAAUUGUAUCAUCUCAAUUUGGGACAGGUAAUUUGGAACGAAGGGAGUAAUUAUCCAUUGUAUAAUUUCUAAGAAUGAUUGUUUGCGUUUGCUUUAUCAUGAUUUAUCAUGAUUGUGCAUGUGCUUUAUUGUUUAUGUCACUUUAUUUAAGCACAUAUACUAUUGUAAAACAUUACAAUUAUCUUUACUUUAAUUGAUAUGUAAGAUAUAAAUUUUCGAGUAACUAACAGACCAUUUAAUUAAAAAUACCUUAUUAAGUAUCCCUAACUCAACUAAUUUAUUUUUAGUUAGCAACAUACCAUCUUUCUAAACAUUUGACUACAAAACCUGUCUUCAUAAUUUCUAAUGGUUAGCAUUCAGCACUUUAGAAGCAAUACAAAUACUUACAUUUCAAUUACCUAUUAUAUCAUCAUCAACGUUAUCAUUACUCGUACAUUCUCGUCAAUACUAGUGGAGUCUAACAUUUUAAGAGAAAUCAAAAUAUAAAUAAACAUAAACAUUAGUCAAAUAAAUUUAAUGUAUAUGCAUAAAUAAAAAUUAUAUUUAUAAAGUGUAAUUUUGUAAAAAAAAUAUAUUAUCAAAAAAAUAACGAGUGGAGUGUAAUUUUGUAACAAAAAAAUAUAUUAUAAAAAAAAUAACGAGUGGCGAAGAUUGUGAAUGUUAUAUAAAUGACAAUAAAAAUUAUGUGAAUAUACAUGGAUGUGAAAGUAAUGUUUAAAAAGGACUUAUAAGAGCGCUACUUUUGUUAUUUCACACAUUUUAUACCGGGAUAAGUUACCCGUUAUUACUAUUCCACCCAUAUAUUUCACAUAUUUUAUUUCGGAAUAAGUUAUCCUGAUAUUACUAUUCCACCCACAUUGGGAUAAACACUCUGUAACCAAACAAAGGAUAAGGACAGAGGAGAACCUAGGAUUUGAAGUCUGUGGGUGCACCAAUGUUGUCAAAGACGCGCAUAAGCCUCGAAGUAAGACUCAAAAUGUGUUGAACACUCGUCUCAGAGGCGAACCCAGGAUUUGAAGUCUGUCGGUGCACUAGUGUUGUCAAAGGCGCGCAUAAGCCUCGAAGUAAGACUCAAAAUGUGUUGAGCACUCGUCUCGCUUAAUGUGCAGAUUAGGUUCUAAUUUCUAAUACAUACUUUUUCUAGACGAAGGCUAAACAAUUGAUAUUUCACUUUAUAAAAAAAAAAAAAAUGUGUUCAUAUAUUUCUCAUUCAUACUUAUAUUAUUAGUCUUGGACUAGACAUAUAUUUAUAUUUUUUUCUCCUUUUAUGCCUUUUUGGUUAAAUCUCACACUUUAUUUGUACUUUGUGAUUAAACACAAUAGACCUUAAAACUUUUUUACGCUUAUUGCUUUUGAUAAUACUGUGGUGCACCAAUAUUAUCUUAAGACGUUAGAAAAACUUUGAGUGUCGAUUAAGGGAUAUUAUCAUAUUCAAUUGGUCGCCAAAGACAUGAACAACAAUGCAAAAAUAAUUAUAUCGAACGAAUAUGAGUUCUAAGAUAAUAACUUUACCUUCUUAUAAUAUAAAGUUUACUUUUAUAACCAUCAAUUGUUGUAGGUUAGUCGUGAAGGGGUGUUCACCAUAGGGAUUGGUUGUGAGUUCGAAUCCCCAUUUCAUCAAUUUUUGUUACAACUUUGGUAAUAAGCCUUUAAAUCUGAAGAAUUGAAAUAUGAAGUUUACUUUUAUCAAUUUUUAUCAAUCAGUUGUGGUAGGUCAAUGGUGAAGGAAAUUUGAAAAAUUAAAAUAUGAAGUUUACUUUUAUCAAUCAGUUGUGGUAGGUAAGUGGUGAAGGAGAGUUCAAUUUAGGUACUGAUUGCUAGUUCGAAUCCCAUUUCAUCAAGUUUUGUUAAUAAGUCUUUAAAUCUAAAGAAUUGAAAAUAAAAGAAUCUCAUUUCAUCAAGUUUUGUUAAUAAGCCUUUAAAUCUGAAGAAUUGAAAAUAAAAGAGAAAAUGUUAGGAAGUUCUCGGGAAUUGACCCUUGGUCGCGUCGGUGGAAGUGCGGGCAUCAACCAGCACGCCAAGGUGAACUAUGUAUACCAAGUUGCACUAUAUGUCAACUAUGGGUGCACUAUAGUAUAUAUUCCAAUUUAUAAGGUAUAUACACAUAUACACACAAUUUUUUUCAACGUUAACGAGUGCACGUGCAUCCCACCGCUACACGUAGGUCCGCCUCUGGAUAAGGGUACUAAAAACUUAUCCCUUAUUAUGUAUGUAUACUCUCAAGGAGUUCUUUUGUUUGCUAAUUCUAUGUGUCCUUCUACCACUUAUGUUUGUUUUGAACCCAAUAUCACGUUUGUUUUGAAACCAAUAUCACCGGGAGGAAGGUAUUGUACUCUUUAUUUUGUUGAGAAUUAAAACAAUUUUGUCGAGAAUUAAAACUUGUUUAUGUGAAUGUUUGUGUCAGUGUUCAGUAUAUAUAUUCAAGACAUCAGGGAAGCGUCUCAAUAAAAUUAGUGGCGUAAAGCCAUACUUUAAUAAGAGGUGUUAAAUAUAUACACAUACAUAUAAAAUAAUACUUUAAUAAUUUAGAGUUGUAUUUUAUUCUUGCAUAUUUGUUGUUUUCGGCAUAGUAUUUUUAAAAGACACAUAACUUUUAAGCUUCACAUAUUAAUAUGAUUAUUAAUAAAAGUAAGAGUUUAUUCUAGUUGACAAGAUGUUAGCUAUUUAUUUUCAGUACAAUAACUUAGAUAUUGUUGUUAAAACUUUAUUAUUAAUAUGAAGUUUGAGUUGUUUAAUUCAAAGUUCUAAAAUAUUUUUUAUAAAAUUAGAUAAUUUUUCUUUCUUUACUUCUUUUUUUGAAUAAUUUUUGUAAACAUAUUUCACAAUCUUUAUUAUUAUUCCAAAUGAAGUUAAAAUCAUAAAAUUUAGUAUAAAAAAUUUUGAGGCCACAAAAUUUUGGAGGCGUGAAACAAACACUUUACUAGCCUUACUCUUAAGCAACCCCAGCAAAACACCUUCAUAUGAGUUAGGUUCUUUACGCAAAGAAGCCAGGCGAAAAGCGCAUACGAAGAUUCUAAAUAAUAUGUGAAAAUCGAAUGAUCGACAAUAUAUUUAUCGAAGAGAUUUUAUUAUGGGAUACAAUCGAAGUAAGGAAAUAUCGAUGGGCUGCAAGUGGACUUGGAGGAAGAUCCAUUCAUCAUCCAGUACUAAUUUCAACUUGUUGCCAUAUGACAAUAGCACUCCCAACUUUUAUUAACGGAGCAUUCCAUUGGAUCAUGUACUCUGAUUUAUCAAAAAAAGGAUAUAAUGGAAUGGACAAGGAACAACUCUCUCCUAAGCCUCACCCAGGAAGAGCAACAACAUAUAAUGAUGUCUCUGAGUGUAUUUUGAAAUUGACCAGCAACAACAUAUCGAUGAGUUCAUUGCACAGCUUGAUCCUGCCUACUUGAGACAGAGAUCGAACUGCAACUGAAAUUUUACAAUUUAAGUUUGAUUAAAUGGUCCUGGUGUUGCUUCACAUUAUACUGCGCGCAAAAAAAAAAUAAUUCCUACACAACUUAACUUAUGCUUGUACUCUAUUAUUAGGAAAACCAAUUCCCUAAUUAGUAUUGAUUUCUAUGUCCCAAAGAUUAGUAGGUGUGCUUGAAGAUAUGCAAACCUUUCUAUGUCAAUGUAGGUGGUCACGAUUGGAUGUUAUAGCGAAACGUUGUUAUGAAGAACGUACUAUAUUAUAACAUGACAUGAUGAGAGCUCUGAUCAAAAUAUACUAGCACAUCAGGUAAGGAUGAUACUAGCACUUUUGUAUCUAUUACUUAAUUAUUACGCCCAAUCUCCUGAUUUACCCCAACAACAACAACAAACAAAAAAAUUAAAAGGCAAGUAUAUCAGUGAAUAGCAUAAUUUGUGAUAGUGUGAGCCUGCGUGAUCGCGAUCCCUAUCCUUUGAAAUAAAGAAUAAAAUAUCUAGUACGACCAAAUUUGCUAUAAUACAAUUCAACUUUCCGGAGAUCCUAUUAUCCCUGAACUAAAUUUUAAAAAUAUUUGUCAUCCUUCCUAAACUAAAUUUUAAAAAUAUUUUGUCAUCCUUUCUAGUUGACGCGGAAUCCCAUUUUAGGUAAUAAAAGUAUCACGCUAGUAUAAAAAGGUUACAAAUUGAGUUAAAAUAGUACUCGUGUGUGAAAUUGAAGUUGAAAUGUAUCUUAAUAACUUUAUCCAUAAUUCGAAGUGGUAUUUCUAAAAUAAAUUAAGAAAAAUGAAAAGAAGCAUAGUCUCUCUUUAGAAAGAGAGCAACUUUCAUUAAUUUUGAUAAACAGUACUCACUCCGUUUCACAAUAAGUGAAUUGUUGGAGCAAUUUUAAUGCUUUAAAAUAAGUGAAUGGUUCACAAUUCAAGACAAAUAUUAAAUUUUUUGUUUUAAAUUUAUUCUCCGUUAAACAUGCAUUGGGAGUGAUAAAUCAUAUGGUUUUUUUUAUUUUUUUUUUUUAAGAGGUUAAAAAUGAAAAUUUAUGUCUUUUGCUUUUUUUUUUUUAGGUACGUGUGUCAAAAUCUAUUGUGGAAUGGAGGGAUUAACAAAUAAAGCUGGGAUGAAGGUGGUCGCCAUUUUGUAAUAUUAGUGAAGCUCAGAGCUUGGAGGUUGGAAUGCAAUGCCGGUGCUGUCCAAUUGAUCUCUCUGUCAUCUGCGGGUCAGUCAAUUAUUCGUUUUCUGCUUCUUAUUAUGGAAUCUGAACCCUUAAAUUUGGCAAACGAUGCAAUGGAAGACAACGAUAGUUCGGGGUUGGAUUUAGAACAACAGUGUGAGCUAGAACCCUACGAGGGCAUGGAAUUUGAAUCCGAGCAAGCUGCUAGGAUUUUCUACAAUUCCUAUGCCCGCAGACUUGGAUUCGGCACUCGGGUCAGUGCUUAUAGACGUUCCCUUCGUGAUAACACUAUUACUACCCGUCAUUUGGUCUGUUCAAAAGAGGGCUUUAACCCUAAGCCUGAUAAUGCCAAGCGUCGACAGCGAAUUGUCUCUAGGGUCGGCUGUAAGGCUCACUUGGCUCUAAAGAAACAGGCUUCUGGUAAGUGGGCUGUCAGUAAGUUCGUCAAAGAACAUAAUCAUGACCUCGUACCCCCUGAUCAAGUCCAUUUGAUUCGAUCGCAUAGGCAUAUUUCCGGUCCUGCCCGCAGCUUGAUUGAUACCCUCCAAGCUGCUGGUUUGGGUGCUACUGGUGUUAUGUCUGUCCUAAUAAAGCAAUCUGGUGGGAUUAGUAAUGUUGGUUUCACAAAAGCUGAUUGCCAGAAUUAUAUGAACCAGAGCAGGCAGAGGACUCUAGGGAGCAGUGCUCAAUAUAUCUUUGACAAUUUGAAGCAGAAGCAGGCGGAGGAUCCUGAUUUCUUUUAUGCUGUUCAAGGUGGUUCAUCGGGGAACAUCUUUUGGGCCGACUCAACCUCCCGAAGGAAUUACUCUUAUUUUGGAGAUACAGUUACAUUUGAUACCGCUUAUAGGACUCACCGAUACAGGGUGCCCUUUGCACCAUUUAUAGGAGUAAACCAUCAUUGUCAGCCAGUUUUAUUUGGUUGUGCUCUGCUUCUAAAUGAAUCAGAGUCAUCAUUCAUUUGGCUAUUCCAAAAUUGGCUUGCUGCAAUGUCUGGUCGCCAUCCUGUUUCAAUAACUACAGACCAUGAUAGGAUCAUCAGGUCAGCUAUUGUAGACGUAUUUCCAGGCGCUCGUCACCGCUUCUGCAAAUCCAAUAUUUUUAGAGAAGCACAGGAAAGGCUCUCGCACUCACUCCAGUCAUUUCCCACUUUUGAAGCAGAAUUCCAGAAAUGUGUCAACUUGACUGAGACAAUUGAGGAGUAUGAGUUAUGCUGGGGAUCCCUACUUGGAAGAUACAACGUCAUAGAUGAUGAAUGGCUUCAGUCAAUGUACGAUGCUCGACAACAAUGGGUUCCAGUUUACCUUCAAGAUACAUUCUUUGGGGAGACAUCUAUUGCUAAAACCAGUGAUAAUACAAACUCAUACUUCGAUGGAUUUAUAGAUGCAUCAACUAACAUUCACGUCCUGAUGAGUCAGUAUGAAAAAGCUACUGCAAACAGGCAUGAGAAGGAGGUGAAGGCAGAGUAUGAUACCAUAAAUAUUGCUCCUAUUUUGAAGACCCCAUCUCCAAUGGAAAAGCAAGCAGCUAACAUUUAUACUAGGGAAAUAUUUUUGAUGUUCCAACAAGAACUAAUGGAGACGCUGGCUUAUCCUGCAACUGUAAUUAAAGAUACAGGAUCAGAUGUAAUAUAUCAAGUGGCAAAGUUUGGAGAGGACCAUAAAGUUAACUAUGUCCAAUAUAAUGUCUUUGAGAAGAAAGCUAGCUGUAGUUGCCAAUUAUUUGACUUUUCAGGUAUUCUUUGUAGGCACAUUUUAGCUGUUUUUAGAGUGAAAAAUGUUCUGAGGCUUCCAUCUCAUUAUGUACUGAAACGUUGGACAAGAAAAGCCAAGAGUGAUAUUGUAUUGGAUGAAGACAAACUUGGAUCGCCAAGUAGUCAUAACAACUCCUUCACUGAUCGUUUUGAAAAGUUAAACCUAGAAGCAACUAAAUAUGUCAAAGAAGGAGUGGAUUCGAAAAAUGUUUACCUUGUUGCUAUGGAUGCUCUACGUGAAGCUUCCAAGAAGGUUGCUGCUGCUGUGUACGGUACUCCAGCAUUACCACUGAAUCAAGACAUGAACAAAGCAAAGGAUUUCAACUUAAAUGGAAAUCAAACUGGUUGUGAUGACUCCAGCUUGCUGGUAAUUUUUUUUCUUUGAACCUUCAGCUUCACCCAGAAAUUAGUGGAAUGUUCUUUCUGCUGGUGUAUAUCAUGCAUUCUUUUUACAUUAGUUCGUUGAAAUUCAUUCUUACUUUGUGAGCUGGGGAGGGGGGGAGGCUGUAUUUGAGAAUGUAAAGAGCUCAAAAUGCUAAUGAGGGAAACAAUGUGUUGGCUCUACAUUCUUUCCUUAUUAUUAUGAUAGCCAACUUUUGCUAUUGCUAUACGUAACCAUCCAGCUCUCAAGUCUUGGCUCCUCUGAACAGAAGUCAUCUGCUUGCUUUGAUCUCCAAUCUCAAAUUUUUUAUUGUUUGUGUUAUUUAUCUGUUUUUUUUUUUUUAAAAGAAAAAAGUAAUAAAUUCUGCAGUUGCUACUAAGAGAUGUUGAAUCUGUCACAGCUGCUAAACAAGGAACUCUUAAGUGAAUUGUUUCAUUUUUGUAAGCCCAUACCAAAUUAUAAUGAAUUUAGCUUCUUGCACCUUGGCACCUUGUGGAUAUUCACUGGUCACAUCUUCAGAUGCAUUACUUUAUAUGGUGUUAAUUGACCUUGAGGGUAUUAUGAAAUCUAUAUUUCGUAGAUUGUGAAUUAGCCUGCGGAAUCAGCAUUGUGAGUGUUUCUAGGUCAGAUGAAGUUCCCUUGCUAUUUCUUUGUCCUCUCGGAUAUACUAUGGUAGAAUCUUAUCUUCUCAUAUUUAUGCCGGAGGAAGAGAGCUAUGUUAGGAUGCUUUUCUUGAAUAAGUAUCUUAUGCUGCUAGUGCUCUAAUUCUCUCACAAGAAACUACUUUCCCUAAACCCCAAAACUUGCUUUUACUGAAACCAAUAGUAGCUGGCUAUUACUUUUGUCUGCACAUCUGGAAGAUGGAACAAGUGAAUACAAGUGUCUUAUCGCAAAUAGCUUAUGCUUUUUAAAUGAGGCGGUUAUCAGAGCCAAUAUUUGGUCAGUCCGUUCUCACUCUUAUACCCGCAUUAAAGUCUGAAUUACCUUGGGUCUUCAAGCCUUCUAAUGCUAUCCACCCCUUUCACUUUUCUCCCAUAUACACUCCUCCCCCCUCCCCUAAUGUUAACAAUGCCACCCUCUCCUUGCUCACCAUGUUUGGUCAUAUUCAUCUUCUUGAUCUCUUUUCCAGCUCUUCCAUCUUUUCUCAACAAAAACCAUUUAGACGGAGGAGCAGAUAGAAAGAGGAGAUGAAAGAGUUACGUAAUUGCAGGCACUUAUGGCCCUUUCUUUUUCCUUAUUGAGUUUAGAUUCUUCUUUUCAAACUUAUUCUUAUUUAUUAUAAAUGUACUCCAGUCUCUUGUAUUACUGCCAAGGAUCUAAUAAGGUUUGUCUGAAACUAAUGCACCGAAGUUUGUCCAGUUAUACACCCAAGUUACACCUGUGAUUUUACGAGUUGACUAAGAAGAUUAAAAUUCACAUUAGCCUUAGCAAUUAUAGUACAAGAUUUGUGGGGACUGGUCUGAACUAUGGUUUUAGAAAGGAUAUCCUGCAAGCCCUUCACGACAAAUCAGAAGCAGUUAUAUCGUGGGUGUGGCCCAUGAAUUAUCUUGGGGAGAUAUCUUCUAACUCACAGUCAUGGUUGGAAAAAGCUUCAUCUUCAGCACCAUGGCCUGUUAUUGAAUAAGUAUGUUGAGUCAUAAAUUCAGUGGUGAAACAAGGAGAUUAUUUCACUGAUAGAUCGACAUGAGACUCUGGGUAGAAUUUUCAUUCGAAACUAUAUUUCCCUAAUAAAAGUUCAAUAAUACUUUCUGAUGCUCUUUUUACCAUCUAUGCACCAAUAAUUUGAGUAUGCAACUGACAUGCAUCUGUUUUACCUUUUGUAGAGUCAAGAUGAGAGAAUUCAGGAAUUGACGGCUGCUGUGGUAAAUGCGUCUGAGAUCUGUGAAGCUUAUCGAACAAAAUUGUUGAGUAUUUUGAGAGAACUGGAGGAGCAGAAGCUGAGAAUAUCUUUGAAGGUACAGAAUAUGAGGCUUAAUCGAAUAGCUUGAGCUAUAGAAGGCACUUCAAAUUCUUUGUAUAUAUAGUGGGUAUGUUGUUGUUGUAUACACCACCAGUGGAGAAACUUGUGACUCGCAAAUAUCUGGAGCACUUUUUGCCUCGGGAUUGCACGUGUAUCGUUCGUCUUGCUAUG